rnacentral:snRNA from 1 species
UUCAGCAGCACAUGUAGUAUGCUAAAAUUAGAACAAUAGAGAGAAGAUUAGCGUGGUCCCUGAGCUUGACUUGACACACAUAUUUGUGACCUUGUUACUAUAUCG